GAUGAAGAACGCAGCGAAAUGCGAUAAGUAAUGCGAAUUGCAGAAUUCCAGUGAGUCAUCGAAUCUUUGAACGCACAUUGCGCCCUUUGGUAUUCCGAAGGGCAUGCCUGUUCGAGCGUCAUUAUCACCCCUCAAGCCCUCGGCUUGGUGUUGGACGGUUUGGUGGAGGCCCCCUCGGGGGUUCCUGCCCCUCCCAAAGACAAUGACGGCGGCCUCGUUGGACCCCCGGUACACUGAGUUCUUCACGGGACACGUAUCGGACACAUGGGUUUACGGGACCCGGUCUGCCUCCCCUCAGGGAGAAUCUUUCUAAGGUUGACCUCGGAUCAGGUAGGGAUACCCGCUGAACUUAAGCAUAUCAAUAAGCGGAGGA
rnacentral:misc_RNA from 1 species